rnacentral:rRNA from 1 species
AAAGCGGGCACUAGCGAUCGACGUGAAAACACCCGAUCCCAUUCCGACCUCGAUAUGUGAAAUCGUCUUGCGCCAUAUGUACUGCGAUUGUUCGGGAGACAUGGUCCAAGCCCGCUGA